UACGGGGGGGGCAAGCGUUGUUCGGAAUUACUGGGCGUAAAGGGCUCGUAGGCGGCCAACUAAGUCGGAUGUGAAAUCCCCAGGCUUAACCUGGGAACUGCAUCCGAUACUGGAUGGCUUGAAUCCGGGAGAGGGAUGCAGAACUCCAGGUGUAGCGGUGAAAUGCGUAGAUAUCUGGAGGAAUACCGGUGGCGAAGGCGGCAUCCUGGACCGGCAUUGACGCUGAUGAGCGAAAGCGUGGGGAGCAAACAGG
rnacentral:rRNA from 1 species